rnacentral:misc_RNA from 1 species
AAGUCGUAACAAGGUUUCCGUAGGUGAACCUGCGGAAGGAUCAUUAACACUAACAUUUGUGCUGGCCGUCGGUCGGUGAUCACUCAUCGAUCGUACGUGCCUCACAUUUACUAUCCACCCGUGGUUCUGUUCUGUACCUUCGCCGCAAGGUGAAGGCUUAUCCACUCGAUCGCUGAGAUUUUCCUUCGGGGACCAGUGGCAACGGUCGUCAACGCACCGACGUAUGCGUUGAUUGUUCGGAGCCGUAUAGGUUGAGUGGCCCAUAUUUUUAUUUACUCUGCAUAGAAUACCUGCACUGAUUUCAUAUGCCCACGAAAGUGUGCGUAUGUUAUUGACCUCGAGUCAAUAAACCACAUACAACUCGUAACAACGGAUAUCUCGGCUAAC